UCUAAAACCCUUGAAUGAGUAGGUGUUCUAAAACCCUUGAAUGAGUAGGUGUUCUAAACCCUUGAAUGAGUAGGUGUUCUAAAACCCUUGAAUGAGUAGGUGUUCUAAAACCCUUGAAUGAGUAGGUGUUCUAAAACCCUUGAAUGAGUAGGUGUUCUAAAACCCUUGAAUGAGUAGGUGUUCUAAAACCCUUGAAUGAGUAGGUGUUCUAAAACCCUUGAAUGAGUAGGUGUUCUAAAACCCUUGAAUGAGUAGGUGUUCUAAAACCCUUGAAUGAGUAGGUGUUCUAAAACCCUUGAAUGAGUAGGUGUUCUAAAACCCUUGAAUGAGUAGGUGUUCUAAACCCUUGAAUGAGUAGGUGUUCUAAAACCCUUGAAUGAGUAGGUGUUCUAAAACCCUUGAAUGAGUAGGUGUUCUAA